UACGUAGGCAGCAAGCGUUGUUCGGAGUUACUGGGCGUAAAGAGUGCGUAGGUGGUGCCCUAAGUCUGUUGUGAAAUCUCCCGGCUUAACUGGGAGGGUGCGGUGGAAACUGGGGUGCUUGAGUGUGGGAGAGGUAAGCGGAAUUCCUGGUGUAGCGGUGAAAUGCGUAGAUAUCAGGAGGAACACCGGUGGCGAAGGCGGGUCUCUGGGCAGUAACUGACGCUGAGGAGCGAAAGCGUGGGGGAGCGAACAGG
rnacentral:rRNA from 1 species